UUUUUUUCUCCAAGACUAUAAUAGUAAGAAUAGACCCAAAUAAGUCCAUAAGAAGAAGUUAUAAUGACCUAUUGUUGGAGUGGACUGUUUUGUUUUUGAAUGAGAUUUUAGUUUGUUUCCCUAGCUGAUAAGCUUUGCAAUACUUUUUCUUGACAGAGUUUAACUUGGAUAAACCUGAAACCAAAUCUUUAGAGGCAAGCUUGAAC
rnacentral:lncRNA from 1 species